rnacentral:rRNA from 1 species
ACGGGAGGCAGCAGUGGGGAAUAUUGCACAAUGGGGGAAACCCUGAUGCAGCGACGCCGCGUGAAGGAAGAAGUAUCUCGGUAUGUAAACUUCUAUCAGCAGGGAAGAUAAUGACGGUACCUGACUAAGAAGCCCCGGCUAACUACGUGCCAGCAGCCGCGGUAAUACGUAGGGGGCAAGCGUUAUCCGGAUUUACUGGGUGUAAAGGGAGCGUAGGCGGCGGAGCAAGUCAGAAGUGAAAGCCCGGGGCUCAACCCCGGGACGGCUUUUGAAACUGCCCUGCUUGAUUUCAGGAGAGGUAAGCGGAAUUCCUAGUGUAGCGGUGAAAUGCGUAGAUAUUAGGAGGAACACCAGUGGCGAAGGCGGCUUACUGGACUGACAAUGACGCUGAGGCUCGAAAGCGUGGGGAGCAAACAGGAUUAGAUACCCUGGUAGUCCACGCCGUAACCGAUGAAUACUAGGUGUCGGGGGCCAUAAGGCUUUCGGUGCC